ensembl:rRNA 5S_rRNA 5S ribosomal RNA
GCUUACGGCCAUACCAACCUGGCUAUUCCCGAUCUCAUCUGAUCUCGGAAGCUAAGCAGGUUUGGGCCUGGUUAAUACUUGGAUGGGAGACCGCCUGGGAAUACCAGGUGCUGUAAGCU